rnacentral:tRNA from 1 species
UCCUGAUGGCUCAGAGGUUAAAGUGUCUGCCUGGAAUGCGGGAGACCCGGGUUUGAUCCCUGGGUCAGGAA